GGUGAACGCUGGCGGUAGGCCUAACACAUGCAAGUCGAACGGCAGCACAGGAGAGCUUGCUCUCUGGGUGGCGAGUGGCGGACGGGUGAGGAAUACAUCGGAAUCUACUUUUUCGUGGGGGAUAACGUAGGGAAACUUACGCUAAUACCGCAUACGACCUACGGGUGAAAGCAGGGGACCUUCGGGCCUUGCGCGAUUGAAUGAGCCGAUGUCGGAUUAGCUAGUUGGCGGGGUAAAGGCCCACCAAGGCGCCGAUCCGUAGCUGGUCUGAGAGAAUGAUCAGCCACACUGGGAGUGAGACACGGCCCCGACUAAUACGGGAGGCAGCAGUGGGGAAUAUUGGACAAUGGGCGCAAGCCUGUUCCAGCCAUACCGCGUGGGUGAACAAGGCCUUCGGGUUGUAAAGCCCUUUUGUUGGGAAAGAGAUCCAGCUGGCUAAUACCCGGUUGGGAUGACGGUACCCAAAGAAUAAGCACCGGCUAACUUCGUGCCAGCCGCCGCGGUAA
rnacentral:rRNA from 1 species